AACUAUUGAACAUUCAAUACAAAUUGAACAUUUGAGAACCAGAUUACCCUUUAAGCAAAAUCACCUAUAAUGCUAGCUAAGAUGGUCCAAGGUUUCAGGCAGCCUCUCUCUUACAUCAGAGUGCAACUGCAAACCUAUAAAAAUGAAACUUUCUAAAUGACCACUAACAUGAUUAAGGAUCCUGAUCAGUUGAAGACGCAUUUGUUUUCCCGACAUUCGAAAGCCCACUAUCCAAUGUUUCUAAUUUCAUCAGCCUGCAAAUUUACGAUGCCGUGGUAAACUAAUCUGGUUAGCAAGUCGCGGCAACACAUGACACUGAGUUGAUAUGCACGAACUAGACAGACAUGGAAAUAGAAUCGGAAAAUCGAGUUACCAAGGUGAGCGGCGC
rnacentral:lncRNA from 1 species